rnacentral:rRNA from 1 species
GAUGAACGCUGGCGGCGCGCCUAAUACAUGCAAGUCGAGCGAACAGACGAGGAGCUUGCUCCUCUGACGUUAGCGGCGGACGGGUGAGUAACACGUGGAUAACCUACCUAUAAGACUGGGAUAACUUCGGGAAACCGGAGCUAAUACCGGAUAAUAUAUUGAACCGCAUGGUUCAAUAGUGAAAGACGGUUUUGCUGUCACUUAUAGAUGGAUCCGCGCCGCAUUAGCUAGUUGGUAAGGUAACGGCUUACCAAGGCAACGAUGCGUAGCCGACCUGAGAGGAUGAUCGGCCACACUGGAACUGAGACACGGUCCAGACUCCUACGGGAGGCAGCAGUAGGGAAUCUUCCGCAAUGGGCGAAAGCCUGACGGAGCAACGCCGCGUGAGUGAUGAAGGUCUUCGGAUCGUAAAACUCUGUUAUUAGGGAAGAACAAAUGUGUAAGUAACUAUGCACGUCUUGACGGUACCUAAUCAGAAAGCCACGGCUAACUACGUG